rnacentral:rRNA from 1 species
AUGGUAGAAGGCUCGGAAACGGACAUCUCUAAUCUUAAGUUCCUUCUCUUCUGCUUCCAACAAAUGUCUGGCCUCAAGAUCAACUUCGACAAGAGCGUUGUGAUGGUGAUGGGCUACUCUCCGGCGGAAUACCUGGACAUUGCCAACUGCCGCAUGGGCUCCUUCCCCACGACAUACUUGGGAAUGCCCAUUAGUGACACUAGGCUUACCGUCAUUGGCUUGCGUCCUUCCGUGGCCAAGAUGCAAACGCGCAUUGAGCCAUGGCAGGGUAUGUGGCUGUCGAAGGCGGCUCGGACGAUUCUCAUCAACUCCUCCCUCUCCAGCCUCCUCUUGUUCCUCAUGAGCUUCUACAGCCUUCACGAGACUCUGCACCAUGAGAUCGCCAAAGUCCAGUCUCGUUUCUACUGGGCAGGCGAUAACAAUAAGCAGAAAAACCAUAUGGUUAGCUGGCCAGACAUUUGCAAGCCUUGGGAACAAGGAGGCCUCGGUAUCAUGUGCUCUAAGCGCAUGAAUAUUGCCCUAUUAUCCCGCUGGCUCUGGCGCAUUUCGCAAGGGCAAGGCGGCCUUUGGUUAGACAUCAUCCGGAACAAGUACAUGUGUGGGCAACCCCUAGCCUUCUGUCAGAGAUCUGGCGGUUCCUAG